CCUACGGGUGGCAGCAGUGGGGAAUAUUGGGCAAUGGGCGCAAGCCUGACCCAGCAACGCCGCGUGAAGGAAGAAGGCUUUCGGGUUGUAAACUUCUUUUCUCAGGGACGAAGAAAGUGACGGUACCUGAGGAAUAAGCCACGGCUAACUACGUGCCAGCAGCCGCGGUAAUACGUAGGUGGCAAGCGUUAUCCGGAUUUAUUGGGUGUAAAGGGCGUGUAGGCGGGAGCGCAAGUCAGAUGUGAAAACUCAGGGCUCAACCCUGAGCCUGCAUUUGAAACUGUGUUUCUUGAGUGCUGGAGAGGCAAUCGGAAUUCCGUGUGUAGCGGUGAAAUGCGUAGAUAUACGGAGGAACCCCGAUUGCGAAGGCAGCAUACCGGUGCACAACUGACGCUCAGGCACGAAAGCGUGGGUAUCGAACAGGAUUAGAUACCCGUGUAGUC
rnacentral:rRNA from 1 species